rnacentral:rRNA from 1 species
GCAGCCACCUUUUAAAACGCGUCAAAGCGUAACCUUAGCCCCCAAAAUACCAUUAAUUUUCAUGAACCCCUAAUCUAUAAUGAAUGACUCCAUAUUUAUAUGGAAGACACCAUGCUAGGAUUAGUAACAAGAAUUUAUAAUUCUCCAAAAUGCAAAUAUAAACCAACAUGGAUGGACCAUUGGUAGUUACCGAACCUAAAUUCAAUGCAACAACACCUACAAGAAAACUCUGCAGUACUUACUCGUUAACCUAACACCAGCGCAUUACAGGAAAGAUUUAAAAAAAGAGAAGGAAUUCGGCAAAUGACGGCCCCGCCUGUUUACCAAAAACAUCGCCUCUUGACUUAUAAUAAGAGGUCCAGCCUGCCCAGUGAAUUUUAAACGGCCGCGGUAUCCUAACCGCGCGAAGGUAGCAUAAUCACUUGUUCUUUAAAUGGGGACUCGUAUCAACGGCAUCACGAGGGUUUUACUGUCUCCUCUUUUUGAUCAGUGAAAUUGAUCUUCCCGUGAAGAAGCGGGAAUAAAUUUAUAAGACGAGAAGACCCCAUGGAGCUUUAAACCAAAUAACAACUUAACCACUUAUCCCAUAAUAAAUUUAAGCCCUGUUAUAAGGUUUUUGGUUGGGGUGACCGCGGAGUAAAACACAUCCUCCACGACGAAAAAAACAGAAUUUUUAUUUAAGAACCACACUUCUAGAAAUUAGUAUACUAACGUUUACUGACCCGACAAUCGAUCAACGGACCAAGUUACCCUGGGGAUAACAGCGCAAUCUACUUCAAGAGCUCAUAUCGACAAGUAGGCUUACGACCUCGAUGUUGGAUCAGGGUAUCCCGGUGGUGCAGCCGCUACCGAAGGUUCGUUUGUUCAACGAUUAAAACCCUACGUGAUCU